GAUGAACGCUGGCGGCGUGCCUAAUACAUGCAAGUCGAGCGAACAGACGAGGAGCUUGCUCCUCUGACGUUAGCGGCGGACGGGUGAGUAACACGUGGAUAACCUACCUAUAAGACUGGGAUAACUUCGGGAAACCGGAGCUAAUACCGGAUAAUAUAUUGAACCGCAUGGUUCAAUAGUGAAAGACGGUUUUGCUGUCACUUAUAGAUGGAUCCGCGCCGCAUUAGCUAGUUGGUAAGGUAACGGCUUACCAAGGCAACGAUGCGUAGCCGACCUGAGAGGGUGAUCGGCCACACUGGAACUGAGCCACGGUCCAGACGCCUACGGGAGGCAGCAGUAGGGAAUCUUCCGCAAUGGGCGAAAGCCUGACGGAGCAACGCCGCGUGAGUGAUGAAGGUCUUCGGAUCGUAAAACUCUGUUAUGAGGGAAGAACAAAUGUGUAAGUAACUAUGCACGUCUUGACGGUACCUAAUCAGAAAGCCACGGCUAACUACGUG
rnacentral:rRNA from 1 species